rnacentral:siRNA from 1 species
CUAUUAAGUUUGGUGACGGUGUCU